UCUAAGCAUAUGCGUCAAGUAAAGGACCUUUGUAUCAGAAAUAAAUCACUUAAUCUUAAAUACAUGUAGUUUGAAAGUCAAUAACACAAGACGGGGCCAAAAAGAAGCUACAGAAUUACACUUCAGCACUACUUGACACAGAUUCGUAAUAAUGCUGCCCAAAAACAUAAGAGAAAAAUAGGUUGGGUUAACGUCAUCCACAAAUAACCCAAUUUUGACACGACAAAACUGCCUAAGUAUCUUCCAUUUCUUAAUAUACAAUGUACUAUUCCUUUAAUUUUGUAUGAUUUCUCUAGUAUCAGGAUAGAGGUCGCACUUGGUGCGAUGGCAAGUGCCUUCGCCCAUGAGCGAUAGGUCUCGGGUUCGAGACUUGGGAGCAGCCUCUCCAUAAAUGGGGGUAAGACUAGCCGACAUUCACCUCUCCCAGACCCUGCGUAAAGCGGGAGCCUUGUGCACUGGGUACGACCUUUUCUCUAGUAUCAGGAUGAAGUGGAUUUUGAUUUUAUAAGGAAUGUAUGAGUAAUAAGUUUGGAUAAAUAUAUGUGACACUUAGUUUUCCACUUUUAAUUCAAAAUAUAUGUGGAGUCGUGGACCAACCCAAACAUGACAUCACUAAUAUACAUGGUAGGUAAGUGUAAAGUCACUCCUCUCAACUAACAAAAGAGAAGCCG
rnacentral:lncRNA from 1 species